rnacentral:lncRNA from 1 species
AUUUUCAUUUCCGCUUCGCAUUUUAUUCAACCCUCCGAUUGGAGCAGGUUUUUAUCGCUUUGCCUUUAUCUACUUUACUUCUUCGCACUGUCUUUACCUUAUUUAUUUCUCUCACUCGCUUUACUUUAUUUAUUUCUCGCAUUCGCUUUACUUUAUUUAUUUCUCGCACUCGCUUUACUUUAUUUAUUUCUCGCACUCGCUUUACUUUAU